AUAUGUAUAGUAUAAAUUUUAUUACAUUUAAUUUCCAAUUAAAAAAUUUAUUUAAAGAUAAUAUAUAUA
rnacentral:tRNA from 1 species